CCCUCGGUAGUCUAUUUGGUCAUGACAUUCGACUAUAAUUAGAUGUGAUUGUCUAUCGAAAAGUCACCGGUUCGAUUCCGGUCCGAGGGA